rnacentral:rRNA from 1 species
UACGGAGGGUGCAAGCGUUAUCCGGAUUCACUGGGUUUAAAGGGAGCGCAGGCGGAUUUGUAAGUCAGUGGUGAAAGGCUUAAGCUCAACUUGGGAACUGCCAUUGAUACUAUAAGUCUUGAAUGUUGUUGAGGUUUGCGGAAUGGGUCAUGUAGCGGUGAAAUGCAUAGAUAUGACCCGGAACACCUAUUGCGAAGGCAGCAGGCUAAACAAAUAUUGACGCUGAGGCUCGAAAGCGUGGGGAUCAAACAGG